GAUGAACGCUGGCGGCGUGCCUAAUACAUGCAAGUCGAGCGAAUGGAUUAAGAGCUUGCUCUUAUGAAGUUAGCGGCGGACGGGUGAGUAACACGUGGGUAACCUGCCCAUAAGACUGGGAUAACUCCGGGAAACCGGGGCUAAUACCGGAUAACAUUUUGAACCGCAUGGUUCGAAAUUGAAAGGCGGCUUAGGCUGUCACUUAUGGAUGGACCCGCGUCGCAUUAGCUAGUGGGUGAGGUAACGGUUCACCAAGGCAACGAUGCGUAGCCGACCUGAGAGGGUGAUCGGCCACACUGGGACUGAGACACGGCCCAGACUCCUACGGGAGGCAGCAGUAGGGAAUCUUCCGCAAUGGACGAAAGUCUGACGGAGCAACGCCGCGUGAGUGAUGAAGGCUUUCGGGUCGUAAAACUCUGUUGUUAGGGAAGAACAAGUGCUAGUUGAAUAAGCUGGCACCUUGACGGUACCUAACCAGAAAGCCACGGCUAACUACGUGCCAGCAGCCGCCGUAA
rnacentral:rRNA from 1 species